UAGCACCAGUUGAAAUCAGUGU
rnacentral:miRNA from 1 species